GGAGGGGUGGCCGAGCGGUCAAUGGCAGCAGACUGUAAAUCUGCCGACUUCACGUCUACGUUGGUUCGAAUCCAACCCCUCCACCA
rnacentral:tRNA from 1 species